rfam:Ictidomys tridecemlineatus contig099295, whole genome shotgun sequence.
UGGGGUGUGGCUCAAUGGUAGAGCGUUUGCCUAGCACAUGUGAGGCCCUGGGUUUAAUCCUCAGCACCACAU